GACGUAGGGCGCGAGCGUUGUCCGGAUUUAUUGGGCGUAAAGAGCUCGUAGGCGGCUUGUUGCGUCGACUGUGAAAACCCGCGGCUUAACUGCGGGCUUGCAGUUGAUACGGGCAGGCUAGAGUUCGGUAGGGGAGACUGGAAUUCCUGGUGUAGCGGUGAAAUGCGUAGAUAUCUGGAGGAAUACCGGUGGCGAAGGCGGCAUCCUGGACCGGCAUUGACGCUGAGGAGCGAAAGCUAGGGGAGCAAACGGG
rnacentral:rRNA from 1 species